AUUCCAUGAUGAGGACAUUCUAGGAUGUAGUCUUGAAAGCGCUCCCAUGCUUCUGGAACAGAUUCAUCAUUUUGUUGCUGAAAAACUUGUAAUCUUCCCACGGAGAGC
rnacentral:snoRNA from 1 species